rnacentral:tRNA from 1 species
AAUGAGUUGGCAGAGAUAUGCACUUGAUUUAGGAUCAACUCACAGGAUAAUUUCCUACUCAUU